AUUUAUUGGUCAAGUUAAUAAGGGCUUAUGGUGGAUGACUUGGCAGAAAGAGGCGAUGAAGGACGUGGUAAGCUGCGAUAAGCUCCGGUGAGUUGCAAACAGACUUUGACCCGGAGAUGUCCGAAUGGGGAAACCCUCUACAGGUAAUGCUGUAGAAUCUUGCAUCGUUAGAUGCAAGAAGCGAUACCAGGGGAAUUGAAACAUCUUAGUACCCUGAGGAAAAGAAAUCGAAUGAGAUUCCCUCAGUAGCGGCGAGCGAAGCGGGAAGAGCCUAAAUUCAGACCUUUCGCAAGAAAGAUCUGGAGGUCGUGGGACUUAGCGUGGUUGGUUUACCAACCGACUCAAUAAUUCUAAUAGCCGAAUAACCUGGAAAGGUUAGUCGAAGAAGGUGAUAGCCCUGUAGGUAAAAUUAGAUUUGUUGAGUUUGCUAGGCACCCGAGUAAUAUGGGACACGGGAAAUCCCAUAUGAAUCUGCCCCGACCACGGGGUCAGGCUAAAUACUCCUUUCUGACCGAUAGUGCACAAGUAAUGUGAAUGAAAGUUGAAAAGAACGCCUGUAAGGCGAGUGAAAUAGUACCUGAAACCGUGAGCCUACAAGCGGUGGGAGGCCUAUGUCCUUUAGCGCAAGCUUUAGGAAAUGGCUGACCGCGUGCCUAUUGAAUAAUGACCCGGCGAGUUACUUAAUGUAGCAAGAUUAAUCUGCUUAUGCGGAGGAGUCGUAGCGAAAGCGAGUCUGAAUAGGGCGAUUUAGUUACAUUAAGUAGACCCGAAACUGAGUGAUCUAUUCAUGGUCAGGGCGAAGCUUCCUUAACCGGAAGUGGAGGUCCGAACCCGUUAACGAUGAAAAGUUAUGGGAUGAACUGUGAAUCGGAGUGAAAGGCUAAUCAAACUCAGAAAUAGCUGGUUCUCUCCGAAAUAGCUUUAGGGCUAGCCUCAUAGCAUUGCAGGUAGGGGUAGAGUACUAAAUGGGCUAGGGGUCCUACCAGACUUCCGAACCCAAUUAAACUCCGAAUACUAUCUGUGUUCACUAUGGGAGUCAGACAGUGGGGGAUAAGCUUCAUUGUCGAAAGGGAAACAGCCCAGACCGACAGCUAAGGUCCCAAAAUAUAGGCUAAGUGGUAAAGGAUGUGAAAUCGCGCAGACAACCAGGAUGUUGGCUUAGAGGCAGCCAUCAUUUAAAGAGUGCGUAACAGCUCACUGGUCAAUUAGUUCCAAGCCCGCAAGGGUAAGGGGCUGCGGUUUUGCGCCGAAGAUUUACGGGGCUCAAGCCUAUUACCGAAGCUUCGGAUUGUAUUGGUAUUUAUAUCGAUACAGUGGUAGGAGAGCGUUCCAUGUUAGGUUGAAGGGUGACCGAAAGGACGCCUGGACGAAAUGGAAGUGAUUAUGCCGGGAUAAGUAGCGAAAAGAUCCGCGAGAAACGGAUCCGCCGAAAGCCUAAGAUUUCCUGGGGAAGGUUAAUCCACCCAGGGUUAGUCGAGCCUAAGCCGAGGCCGAAAGGCGUAGGUGAUGGAUAGUGCGUUAAUAUUCGUACACUAUCUACUUCGCGUUAUUAAGCUUGGAGUGACGCAGUAAGUUACGUGAGCCCUGUAUUGGACAUCAGGGUCCAAACCUGUACCCAUGCGCGCAAGCGUAUGGCGAGAGGCGUUAGGGAGUCUGAUCUACGGAGAUGACAAACUCACCGAAACUACACUGCCAAGAAAAGCUUCAAGAUGAGUGGAGUAGAUACUCGUAUCGGAAACCGACACAGGUAGGCGGGUAGAAAAUACCUAGGCGCUCGAAAUAACUCUCGUUAAGGAACUCGGCAAUCUAGCCCCGUAACUUCGGAAGAAGGGGUGCCUUGCUAAGUGAAGGGUUUUACACCUGGAGCUAGGCGAGGUUACAAUAAAGGGGGCUUUGUGACUGUUUAGCAAAAACACAUGUCUCUGCAAACUCCAAAGAGGAGGUAUAGGGACUGACACCUGCCCGGUGCCGGAAGGUUAAGGCAAGGGGUCAACCCGUCGCAAGACGAGGGGAAGCUCUGAACCGAAGCCCCGGUAAACGGCGGCCGUAACUAUAACGGUCCUAAGGUAGCGAAAUUCCUUGUCGGGUAAGUUCCGACCCGCACGAAUGGUGUAACAACAGAGCCGCUGUCUCAACGAGAGGUUCGGCGAAAUUGUAGCAUUGGUGAAGAUGCCAGUUAUCUGCGACUAGACGAAAAGACCCCAGAACCUUUACUGUAUCCUGGUAUUGAACUUUGAUUCGGUAUGUGUAGGAUAGGUGGGAGACUUUGAAGUUCUAGCGCUAGCUAGAAUGGAGUCAACGGUGAAAUACCACCCUUAUUGCAUUAGGGUUCUAACCUACUCGUCUGAAUCGACGAGAGAGACAUUGCCAGGUGGGCAGUUUGACUGGGGCGGUUUCCUCCCAAAUUGUAACGGAGGAGUUCAAAGGUUCUCUCAGUACGGUCGGCAAUCGUACGGUGAGUGCAAAGGCAUAAGAGAGCUUAACUGUAAGACUGACAAGUCGAGCAGAUGCGAAAGCAGGACUUAGUGAUCCGGCGGUAGCACGUGGAAGCGCCGUCGCUCAACGGAUAAAAGGUACUCUGGGGAUAACAGGCUUAUCGGGCCCAAGAGUUCACAUCGACGGCCCGGUUUGGCACCUCGAUGUCGGCUCAUCACAUCCUGGGGGUGGAGAAGCUCCCAAGGGUUCGGCUGUUCGCCGAUUAAAGUGGUACGUGAGCUGGGUUCAGAACGUCGUAAGACAGUUCGGUCUCUAUCUGUCGUAGAUGUAGGAUGUUUGAAAGGAGCUGUCCCUAGUACGAGAGGACCGGGGCAGACGAACCUCUGGUGUUCCAGUUGUCACGCCAGUGGCAUUAGCUGGGUAGCUAUGUUCGGAAAGGAUAAGCGCUGAAAGCAUCUAAGUGCCAAGCCCCCCUUAAAACUAGACAUCCCGGAAGACACCUCAAAGACUAUGAGGUUGAUAGGCCUCAAGUGCAAGUCCUGUAAGGGAUUUAGCUUAGAGGUACUAAUCUGUCGUUCGGCUUGACCAUAUU
rnacentral:rRNA from 1 species